ACGGGUGAGUAAUGUCUGGGGAUCUGCCCGAUAGAGGGGGAUAACCACUGGAAACGGUGGCUAAUACCGCAUAACGUCGCAAGACCAAAGAGGGGGACCUUCGGGCCUCUCACUAUCGGAUGAACCCAGAUGGGAUUAGCUAGUAGGCGGGGUAACGGCCCACCUAGGCGACGAUCCCUAGCUGGUCUGAGAGGAUGACCAGCCACACUGGAACUGAGACACGGUCCAGACUCCUACGGGAGGCAGCAGUGGGGAAUAUUGCACAAUGGGCGCAAGCCUGAUGCAGCCAUGCCGCGUGUAUGAAGAAGGCCUUCGGGUUGUAAAGUACUUUCAGCGGGGGGGAAGGCGAUGUGGUUAAUAACCGCGUCGAUUGACGUUACCCGCAGAAGAAGCACCGGCUAACUCCGUGCCAGCAGCCGCGGUAAUACGGAGGGUGCAAGCGUUAAUCGGAAUUACUGGGCGUAAAGCGCACGCAGGCGGUCUGUUAAGUCAGAUGUGAAAUCCCCGGGCUUAACCUGGGAACUGCAUUUGAAACUGGCAGGCUCGAGUCUCGUAGAGGGGGGUAGAAUUCCAGGUGUA
rnacentral:rRNA from 1 species